rnacentral:rRNA from 1 species
UACAGAGGUCUCAAGCGUUGUUCGGAUUCAUUGGGCGUAAAGGGUGCGUAGGCGGCGCGGUAAGUCGGGUGUGAAAUCUCGGAGCUUAACUCCGAAACUGCAUUCGAUACUGCCGUGCUUGAGGACUGGAGAGGAGACUGGAAUUUACGGUGUAGCGGUGAAAUGCGUAGAUACCGUAAGGAAGACCAGUGGCGAAGGCGGGUCUCUGGACAGUUCCUGACGCUGAGACACGAAGGCCAGGGGAGCAAACGGG